GACGUAGGGCGCAAGCGUUGUCCGGAUUUAUUGGGCGUAAAGAGCUCGUAGGCGGUCUGUCGCGUCGAUCGUGAAAACUUGGGGCUUAACCCUGAGCUUGCGGUCGAUACGGGCAUGACUGGAGUUCGGCAGGGGAGACUGGAAUUCCUGGUGUAGCGGUGAAAUGCGCAGAUAUUAGGAAGAACACCGGUGGCGAAGGCGGCCCACUGGCUCGACACUGACGCUGAGGUGCGAAAGCAUGGGGAGCGAACAGG
rnacentral:rRNA from 1 species